rnacentral:rRNA from 1 species
GACGAACCGAGCGAACGUUGUUCGGAAUCACUGGGCUUAAAGGGCGCGUAGGCGGGUGCUCAAGUCCGUGGUGAAAUCCUCCGGCUCAACCGGAGAACUGCCUCGGAUACUGGGCGUCUCGAGUGUGGUAGGGGUAUGCGGAACUAUCGGUGGAGCGGUGAAAUGCGUUGAUAUCGAUAGGAACACCAGUGGCGAAGGCGAGUCUCUGGACAUUUCCUGACGCUGAGGCACGAAAGCCAGGGGAGCAAACGGG